CCUACGGGAGGCAGCAGUGAGGAAUAUUGGUCAAUGGACGAGGGUCUGAACCAGCCAAGUAGCGUGAAGGAUGACUGCCCUAUGGGUUGUAAACUUCUUUUAUAUGGGAAUAAAAUGUUCCACGUGUGGGAUUUUGUAUGUACCAUAUGAAUAAGGAUCGGCUAACUCCGUGCCAGCAGCCGCGGUAAUACGGAGGAUCCGAGUGUUAUCCGGAUUUAUUGGGUUUAAAGGGAGCGUAGGUGGAUUGUUAAGUCAGUUGUGAAAGUUUGCGGCUCAACCGUAAAAUUGCAGUUGAAACUGGCAGUCUUGAGUACAGUAGAGGUGGGCGGAAUUCGUGGUGUAGCGGUGAAAUGCUUAGAUAUCACGAAGAACUCCGAUUGCGAAGGCAGUUCACUGGACUGCAACUGACACUGAGGCUCGAAAGUGUGGGUAUCAAACAGGAUUAGAUACCCUAGUAGUC
rnacentral:rRNA from 1 species